UAUGUCCUGCGGAGUGCGAGGUUAGGAGAUUUGGGCAUUGAUUCCAGGAGGGAUUUCUGUAACAUGGGGCACGUCAGGACGCUGCCUUGGAGCAUGUCCCAAACCUUCACGCUGCCUCGCAAUUUUCCAGCUCCUUGCCUGCUUCUUUGACCUGUGCCACUCAGUGGUUUGCCUCCCUCGCUCCCAGAAGCCCAGCCCAGUUCUGAGGCAUUUAUUACCCUACAUAUACUCUGCCACCAUACAGAAAUCUCCUGUGAACCUGUGGAUAUGUGCUGCAUAGUCUGGUCACUGUCAGAGUGCCAGAAAUUUUGUGGUGUCUACAUAUUUAGUUCCCAUAGACUGAAUUUGUCUCCUGCCGCUCGUAAAGAACGUGCCUCUAUCUGCCCAAAAUGGUAGCUUAAGCAGGUUGUUGGGCCCCGAAGGCUCAGGAUGUGGAAAGCUUAGGGCAUGGAAAAAACCUGCCUGCAAGUAGUGGGAGGGAGCACUGCUUUGAGAAAGGGGAAAACCUAGUAGCAAAGCAGGGAUCGUAAGAGUGGCUUGGGAGAACUUUGGAGGCAAAGAGAAUUAAAUGAUGGGGUCAGGGUAGAUCAGGGUGCCACUGAGAAUUUGCUGGAAGAAAAGGAAAUUAGUACCUUACAGAAUUGAGGGCAUAUAAAGAGCUAAACAUGUACAGUGAACCAGAGCACAUGUAGGUUAUAUACUUGAAGUCCUAACUGAUGGUUUUCUGCUGUCUUUAUCUUCAUGCUUAUCAGGACUGUGAGACCUUUUUGCAGCCUGCCAGCCUCCUUAUGGAAAGUGUUAAAAGCCACGUGAGAGAGGUGUAGCCAGAAGACACCAACCUUCCAAGCCAGCAUUUUGGCUUUGAGGCUAAAAUAACACACAGGAAAAUCUAUGCACUGCUAGAAGCAUUCCUAACUGCAUUAGAUCUUCCUUAUCAAUCUAAGCCUGCCUUUGGAAUUGUGCCAUGGAUUCUCAGGCUUGUGUUCAGGAAGUGUUUCUGAUAAUAAUGGCCUUCUGGAAGCACCACGCUGAAAUUCUGUAUUUCUGUAUUUCUGAGUGUGGUUAGGGAGAGCCCAUCAGCAGUGUCCCUUGUUCUGGAGGUGAGAUCCCCAUCUCUAGUGAUGGAAGGAAGCCGUUUCUGUUUCCAAAUGUAAUCCACGUGCUCUUCAGAGACACCAUGGAGGAAAGAGUAAGUGUCCAUCAAACAAGCAGUGAGAGGGGACAAGGGCCGAUGAGGCUUGCCGGUAUGGUAUACGAGGCAGCAGGGUACAGACAGAUCAGGAUGACAGAAAUAAGGGUACCUGUUGGGGGGACAGGGGUUGAGCAGGGCAAAGAAGACAGAGGUGAAAUGGGAGGAGUGAGGGAGAGGGGGAAAGCAAGGCAAGCUUGUGGAGCGGGUCAGAAUUGGUACCAUAUCCCUAGGUUUAGUCUGCAGAGAGCUUUCUGUAUCUCUCUUGCUUUUAUCGUGUCACAGAAAUCUAAUUCUGAAGUCCUUAUUAAGCAUCACGUACGUCUUCUAUGGCCAAAUGCUUCUAGAGCUCGACAGGCACCAGACACCAAACAGAGAGCUGUUCUGCUGCAGGGAUUUUAUGUUUCUGCUAAAUCAAGAACUUCAGAUCCUUGGGGUGAAAGUGCAAUAUUUGCCCCUGCACGUGAGAUAUUAGGUAUUGCGUUCUACCUGGCAGUUACUGUGCAACUUUAACAUAGCUUUGUGCUGCUGGUUUUGUUUGUUUGUUUGUUUGUUUUCCUAAGAGAAUUGAUGUAUGUCUGAAGAGUCUCACAGUAACCAGGGAAAAGGGAUAAGUGAUAGACACACAUACACUAUUUGUAGAUAAAUGAAAGGGAAUUUUCAGAGCAAUGAAGUAGUUUAGGACGGAUCAGUUUGUUGGUAGAAUAUUAAGAAGAAUCCAUGCCAGAAAUGGAAUAUCACAGGGUUAUGGGAUUCCUUUUUUCAUACAACUCAUGGCUUUUCUGAUGAAAGUUUUGUUCUCCAUUGACUUUUCAUCAGUCCCCAACUGGGACCCUGAAGAACUCCCUGUCAUGAAAUCUCAGGACAGAACGCCUCGUCUGUGACGGGGACUUUCCAAGGUGAAUAAUGAACAGUAAUACCAUCAGAUGACAACAAGUGCAUGCAGCCAGAAUGAUGGGAGAACACAGAAACAGCGACACGGUAUCUCUAACUCU